rnacentral:rRNA from 1 species
UACGUAGGGGGCAAGCGUUGUCCGGAUUUAUUGGGCGUAAAGAGCGUGUAGGCGGCCAUACAGGUCAGCUGUGAAAACUCGAGGCUCAACCUCGAGACGUCGGUUGAAACCGUAUGGCUAGAGUCCGGAAGAGGAGAGUGGAAUUCCCGGUGUAGCGGUGAAAUGCGCAGAUAUCGGGAAGAACACCUAUGGCGAAGGCGGCUCUCUGGGACGGUACUGACGCUGAGACGCGAAAGCGUGGGGAGCGAACAGG